AUCUUACUUUUUUUCCUUUUUUCUUUUUUUUUCUUUUUUUUUUUAAAUAGAAUCUUUGUAGGAUCUGGUUCCUUUAAUAUUGGUCACAGUGAUUAAGUAACAAACAGAAAUUCAGCAUUGCCCUUGCUCUGAGCAGGAGGUAAGAUCACAUGACUCUAGGUUCCUUCCAAUUUGAACAAUUUUAUGGUAAUUGCCAAAAACUAACAAAACAAUCAAAAAACAGCCACUGGUAUCUUACUCAAUCAAGUUUAGAACCUGAGAAGGUGAGACAAAGGAACUAAGUAUUACAGCCCCUAGUUUUCAGACAGGAAAUCUGAAGACCAGAAAGAUUAAGUGACUCAGCCAAAGCCCCAGGGAAAUUUGGCCAGACUGGGAGAUAAUCCCAGAUCUUCCAAGUUCCAGGCAAGUACCCUCAAUUCAAGACAAAGCUUCUUACCAAAUAUUUUGAGCUGGACACAAAUUUUCAGUACUCAAAGUGGAUUAUAAGGAAAACAAUUUCUUAUCCAAGGGUUGCAAUCCACUUGCCUUUUUUAAUUCCUUUUACUUUUGCAUGUAGUAGUGUGGUAAAUCACUAGAUCAACAGAUGUUCGGGUUUUUUUGUUUGUUUGUUUGUUUUGUUUUUUUUGAGCAUAUACGUUCAGGUACAAGUACUAUCGUUAACAAGCCCAUCCAGCUGCCUGUACGUGUAAGGAAAUAUGCCUGGCUUUAACCUUUUUCUUACUGUGAUGGAAGACAAACCACGUACUGUCAGUAUGGCACACAGUUGAACACCACAGCUUGGUCUUAACUAAUUAUAUGACACAUAAAGGAUAGUCAGGUAGGGUUACAAGCCUGUUAUUUUAUUAAAAGGCAUUUAUGACAUUAACCAUCAUUAUAAGAACCUACAGAUGAAAUUACACACUUGAUAAUUACCCUUAAGGUAUCUCUUAAUAUAUUAGCUCUGUAUAAUAUAUAUGGUAAUUUUAAAAAAGUCAUUGUUGAAUACCAGAGAGAUCAUAUUAGCCCGUAAUACAGAUGAUAAUUCAGAAAGUCACAGGCAGUGAUUAAAAUAACCAGAUUACUCAGUGUCAUGGGCCAGAUUUUAUUCCCUCUAGCAAUGAAAGAAGCUCACGCAUCCCUAUCUCUCUAGAUGUUAGGAGGACAGUGCAUAUGAGUAAGCUGCUGUUCAUGGUCACCAGGCCAGAAUGCAGCCCGUUCUGACAGACCGUGGAUGUCUUUAUGAAAAGCAUCAAGUGGAGUUCUGAACUGCUCUGGCAUUUAGGUGAAAUAUUUCAAUGCAAACACCACUGAAAGAUUUGAGAAUGUGUGGGAGAUCAUUUGGCAUAAACACUAUUUCACUGAAAGGGGACACAGGGGCUCUUUGGCACACAGCAAACAGAAACGUUUUUAAAAGCACUGCUUGUUGAAGCAAACGCCCUCUUGCCAACUGCAAAUCAAUGCUUUUGGCUGGUUCUGUUCUGAGAACAUCACAACUCUACGUCUUUGAAAGCUUAAUGGUUUUUGACAUCAAAUUAAAACCUGUUGGAAAAGGACAAAUCUUAGGGGUCAAACAGUUGUGAGUUAUACAAACACCACAUCAUGAAACCAGAGGCACCGAUGGCUUAGCAGAACAAUUGCCAGCUGAAGAAAUACAACCAGAAAAAGACCACGCGGUCAAACAGCAACGACACAGUGUAACAGAGGAAUAACAACCACAAAAGUGGUCCCAUAAAAUCCAGAUGAGAAUUCGUAUGAGUCCUGGUUUCACAUCUCUGAUGCCAUGCAGUAGCCAGAAAUGCCUCAAGGCAGCAUCAGCACUGCUUAGAAGUGCUUUGUGAGGCAGGAUGGAGGACAGUGGCCUCCCAGCCUCACGUCCCUGCCUGGCAUCUUUCACUGCAACAACAGAGCUUGUCCCAGUGCAGCACGUCCAAGGUGCUGCUUACACUUCCUUUCUACUUAGUUUGGAAAAUAACUCACAUUGUUAGAAUGAACAGAAGUAUCUCUAAAGCAUCAAAGGCUUGAGAGAACUUCCCAAACCCUUAUUUGGUCAAAAUUCUCAGAAACGCCUCAAAAUGAGGGGGAAGAAAAUGAAAGGCCCAAACUUGUAGAAUGGUAUUUGCGAGCAGAACUUGAUGAGGACACAAGACCCUGGAGAAUCUAAUGAGAGAGUUCUGUUGAUAUCAGAGCACACUGGAAGCAAAUAAAAUUGACAUUUUUAAUAAAUUAAUUUGUACCUAGCAUCAUUGAAAUUAUAUGAAGAUAUUGCAGAUUUCUUCUGGCAGAAACAAAGAAACAGUACUUCACUCUUGUUCAAAUAGAUGGCUUCUGCCAAGGUUUACCCUCUUUAUCUUUAGCUAAUGACAGGAAUGGAUGAAAAGGAGUCUAGAAACAUCCUUCACUGAAAGAGUUAAACAACCAAACCCUUAAGCAUGCCUUCUUAGCCUGAUUUUACCAUCUUUACAUACUUAAUUGUCGAGCACGUCUUAAACCUGUAGAGUAACACUUUAAGAUGUUUUACUGUUUAUUCUACUCAUUCAUUUCAAUCGUACACUAUUAUUAAGUACUUCCUUAGUAAAACUACAUUUAUUCAAUCUAAUAUCAUAUGAUGUUAUGAACUAGACAGAUUUCUCAUCAGCAACCUGAAUACUGUUCCUAACCAAUACCGCACCUGGUUUUCUUCUUCUGUGCAGGAGGGAAGAAAUAUCUGUGUAUCAUCUUCCUUACAGUUUACUUCACCUCUGUCAAACAAGCUUCUCGGGACUUCUUCCCACCUGUGUUAUUUGCAAAGCCAAAAACAAGCUGUGUAGAGUUGACAGCUACAAAAUCCUCUGCAGGUCCAUGACCUGCAGAAAUGUAAAUGCUCUUAGGAAUACCCUGUUGUGAACAUGUUUGAUUUUCCUGCUAUCCUACCAACAAGCUCUAAAGGUGGAUGAUGUAGGUGGAAGAGAAGUGUAGCUAUAAUUGUUUUCAAUAAAUGAAAUUAUACAAGCAGAAUGAAAACAAUCUAAAACCAGAAAGCUUACAGUAUUCACCGCAGCAAUAGUGUCAAAACAUAUACUGUGACAAGAAUCAUCAUUUGAAGGCAUUUUCAAACCUAGCAGGAAAAAUGCUCUAUACGUAUCUGUAAUCUUUUUACAUGACACACUGAAAGGGUAAUGAAAAAAUACCAUCCGUAUUACACAGCUGGUGCCACCACCACCCAGCAAGCCCAUGAUCAAAUACCAACAGGACACUUUGUGAGAGUUACAAGUAACCUUAGACCCAGACAAUGAAAAGGGAUCUGUUUGUAAAAAUGACACUUUACAGCCUGAUCCAAAGCACACCAUGCCGUGCAAUUUGCAGUGUGAUCUGUGAGGCUGGGGUUCUCUAGCUCCACUUACAACUUGGUACGUCCAAAUUAGAGCUAUGCAGAUCUCAGAAUUAUUGAAGUAUAAAAUGUCCAGACAGUAAUAAAUGUCUCACCAGAUUAAUCAGAGGGUCCACAGCAGAGCGGGACUUUUUUGUUGAAACCACCAAGAGGCAAAAAUUGAGCUGUUAAGCCAUUCGGGAUCAACUGUCCCCUUACCUCUGAGGCCAGAUUCAUCUCGCACAACCGCAGCCAUCAGCCAUGACCCACCCAUUGCCGGUACUUCCCCAUCCCUGUCAUGACACAAGUUUCCUUGCAGAAGAUGUCACUAGAAAUGUAAUUACUACUAGGACGCCUUAACAUGAAAUCACUCUCUGAAUCAGCACCUACUGCUAUUAAGAAGUCAAACAGUCACUGCAAACAGCUGAAACAUAGAUAAGUUCAGGAAGCCCCUUUGGAAUUGCAGUACUGAACAAGGAAUAGCCUUUUAUCUUCCUCAGCUGCACCCCACUGCCAGAGUCAUGUAUGAUAACAAACCUGUGCUAUACAAAUCCUUACCUGAUAUAAGUAGCAUUAAAAACACCCAGAUCCUUUCUAUUCAUGUGAUAAUGCAACUGUGAGAAUGUAAAUUCUCCUUUCAGGAACAGACACAGAUGCUUUUGCCAAGGCUUCAAUUAGUGCUAAAGGUCUUUUGUCCUUGCCUGCACAAUUACUAACCUGACCUGGCUGGCCCACGUGUUAUACAUUUCACACUGCAGCAGGGAAACUAAUAGCAAUGCUGAGGGGCAGAAAAACAGGCUUUAGGUGAAGGCGGCUUUGUUCCAAGAAGGGAGGUGGACAGGAAAGAUGUAAAUGGGCACUGGGAGCUUAACUCCACUAAGAGUUUCCUUCCUAUUACUCUGCAGCCUUGAUAAUUUUCUAUAUAAUAGCCAGGGGAGAAAAUCAGCAGUAAAACUAGCUGAGGUGAAUCCUGCUCUCUUCCCACUGGCUUACUCUCAGAGCUGGCUAGGAAUAAUACAGAACAGAAAUUGCCUUGUUGAACAGACAAUGAGUUAGUAACUGAGAGCUAUAGGAGAAGAAAGACUUUCUGAUUUUGUUAUGGCUGUUUGUGAAGUCUCCAGGACUGUGGACAAACAGAUCAUGUAUGGUCAUUUCAGGACAGUCAGGCACGGCCAUGCUCUUUCCACAAGAAAAAUGACAGCCUGGAAAAUGAGGUAAUAUGUAAAUGGCAAAAAGUGAGGUGGGACAGUAGAAAGGAGACUGUGUGUCAAAAAAUCCAAGGGAAGAGAGAAAAAAACAUGAUGGGACAGCUCUGUGACCUACCAAGUGCUGCGCUGAAGCAAGAAGUAUCAAAUCGGUUCAUAAAAUACGAGGCCUUCUAGUGCUGCGGACAUCUAUAGAAGACUCACCAACAUGGAGUUAGUGGUGGAAAUAAAAGAAUGAAAGGACUUUUUAAAAAAGCACAAUGAAGCUUUUCUGGGAAGUUAUGGCUCUGUUCCCUAGGAUGUCUUGCCUUUAAGAUGUGGUCACAAUUUGCUGUUUUCUUACUUUACCACCAACAUUAUUUUCUGCAGCUGUCAUUUGUCUCCCAGUUCCUGAGGGCAGUUUUUGAGUGCAGCCUCCAUUUGUACAGCUCGCAGUGCUAAGAGCUGCAAGUACAGACUGUUUCAGAUGCUGGUUUUUGAUUUCUUUCACUUUCCUGGACUUUUCAGAGUCCCACGCUCCAGCUGAGGAUGCUUCUGGAUUCCUCACAAAGGUUGCAGCUGUAGUUCAGGGGAUGUCCAACUCUCUGAAUUGACAGCCUCGCCUGAGAGCUCUUUCCGUGAGGCUCAUUUCAGGAAAAAAGGCAUUCAUUCAACAGAUUUCAAGCAGAGAGAAUGUUGAUCUUAACCCAUCUUCAGCAAGCAUAAAGAAAUUAAGAACAGACUUUCUUCAAUAAUAACUUCCACCCACCAAAGCCAGCACACAUGGCAGAUCCAUCAAACAGGUAAUGCGAAGAAGAAAAUUUCAAGCCCAACUCAAAUCUCACGGACAUUAAUCUCCAGCCUUGGAGACUGCCCUCUUUUCAUCCUAAUAACUUGAGGCUAGCUUAAUAACAGGAAUCACUACAGAAAGCUUGAAAUGAUCAUCUUUCCCCCUGCUCACCCCAUGGAAGAAGUAUAAUUUUACCCGGGGCUAAAUAUGCUUUCAAGGAAAACGCGGUGCCCUUUGUUGUCAUGAGCAACCAGAAUCAUCUAAGUAGCUGUUACUCCAGAGAUAGCUGUGGGAGGGAAAAACUGACACUGCUCUGAAAUACACUGACUCAGCUGCAGAGGUGUGAUUUGUUAUGUAGGUCUGCUUGUGAAGCUGGGUCUGAAGGCCGUCCUCACAGCCAAGGGGAAGCGAGGGAUGCUAACAACUUUAGUCCAAAGCUGGCAGACUGAGCUGGGGACUCGCACCUUCUGCUAUGUGCUCUUCCACUGGAUUAGGUGCCAAGGUUUUCUGAAAAUUUCCAGAGUUCAGCCAACUCAGGUAAAUUGGCGAGGGAGAUCCACUGCUGUAUCCUGGCCUGGAUUGUUGGCCUUUUUGGUAAAUGGUAGACAAAGAAAACUUCUGUCUAGCAUAUGACAUAGCCAUGGCCAGGAACAGGCAGUGAAACUUUGCAAGACUUGCAUGCCAAGCUGUGUGACAAAAGCAGUGUAAAAGCUGUGUAUUCAUAGUCACUGAUAAUCCCUUUUCUCAGAGUCCUGCAGUGGCUUUGCUAAAUGGCUUCUGGACUACAUAGUUCAGAGAACAGAAAAGCUAUCUCAAACCUAUCUGUAUUUGACUUAGGAGACAGGAUGCCAGCACAGCUGGAUUAUUACCCCUAUGGAAAGAUAACUAGUAUGAAUACGACUCCUGGGCAUCUAACUCAAGCUGGUUCUGCCAUGAGAAAUUAGCGGUGAUGUUCUGCACACAGGUUAAUCCUGUAUCUCUCGUCUGUCUGCUCACACACAGGAGUAUGACUGCACAUCACCCAACUCAGCCGAAGCACAAAAUCAACAUGAGCUGGCUUCUUACCAACCACAGGAGGUCACAUGCUACCUGUGGCAGUAUAAACACGCUGGCAGUAUAAACACGCAUCAAAAGAACAAACUUUUUGGGGGAAGAAAAGUCUAUACCAGGUCUAUGCUCUGCAUCAUGCACCUGCUGCGGUAUAUCUGAUCCAGAAAUAGGAUUCCUAAAGCAUGAUUUACUGCUUUGCUGAGCUAUGGCCCAACACACAAAAUAAAAAAGAUACUAAGGCAUAACGCAUCAAAACAAAGUCAAGAAGCAAAAAGGAAAGGAAAGAGGCGAUGAGGCUAAAAUUUAGAUGAGAAUUACAGGACAAAUGCAGGCUACUCCACAGUGACGUGUGAUUCAUAAAGGGGGAGUGAGGAGGUAGAAAAAAGAGAAGCAAGUUCAUAAGCUUAUGGCAUUUCCAAGCAUAACUGACUGGGCUGAGAAGCCAUUCUGAUGGGCCCAGACCCCCUUCAACCCUAAAUUAAAAUCUCAGGAGUGUCUUCUCAGCCCCUUCAAAGCACAGAUAAAUGGGUUACCACUGAACUGAGGUUGUAGUGUCCUUAAAACUAAGCUAUCUGUCCCGGGUGGGUGUUGAGUUCCUAAGGUGUCACCAGAAGGAGAGAGUGUUCCACUGUCAUCAUCAAACAUCUCCCCUGCCUGACCUGCUGCAAGAAGUAUGAGUUGCCUCCCUGCCUCCCUCAAAUUAUGCAGAUAUCUAGAUGAGCUGGUGCUGAACAUAAGAAGUCUGCAAAGCACUUCAUGUUCCUCCCAUGAAAGAUGUUACAUAAAUAUAUAAAGCAGCAUAAGUAAUGAGAGACAAGGCAAGCAUUUCAAUACUGCCCGCAUUGUGUCUCUGAGUUCUGGUCCCAUGUACAGGCACAGCUGCUACACGGGCUUUUAGGAGAAAAUUCACUCUUACACAUGAAGUUCCUCAGGGAGGCAGCUGUGGGGUUGUAUCCAAUCUCUGUUUUGUAGUUGACCCAGACACUCACCGCAGUGAUUCCUUAAGACAACUGAGCCCAAGGUGCUCUCCUACAGCAGUUUUAGAGCCUCCACCCUGAGCAAGCUGUGUAUGUGACAUGUCCCAGCCUCCUGGGCUGAGUGGACACAGGCUACAGCAGUCUCCUAUUCCCAACGUGCUCAAGAGGACAGGGAUGUUUUCCUUUUACCUCUGAAGAAAAUGACCAGGGCUCAGCUUACUGCACUGCAGCCCCAAGAGGUGAGAGAAACUGCAGGAUGUGGCUCUGCUUAUAAUAAGGGUAUCACCAGUAAGGACACGGUAAUGUGGAUACAGCUCUGCAGCUCCUCCACACCCUCGCUAAGCCAACAAAGAUGAGAUGCACAGAUGUGCUGUGCAGCAGAGACAUGCCAAGAGGGUUUCUGACCCUCCAAUUACUGCCCAGGACCAACAGCUGUAAUAGCAAAAACUUAAUAAAGUCAGGGACUUGUGAGUAAAGGGUCACCCCGGCACUUUGAUAAAGUACUUAGCAUCUGAUGCCUCCCUGCUAGCUCUGCAGUAUCUGCUUCUCACAAGGGCCUAUGAAGGUGACCACACAAACCAGUCAGGUGUUUUCAAGAGACUGUCCUUUGGGUGCACUGCCCAUGCAAGAGGCGAAAAAAAGCAAGACAAAUGUACCAAGGGUCCCUGUGUAAGCAGAGGACCAACUGCUCAGACACAGAUUUCUGUUCUACCAUGGGGAUGCCCUUCCCUAGAUGUACCGAAGGACCUGGGCUCUGCGAGUCAGAAUUUAAUGCCUGCUGUGUCUGGUAACACUGACACAACUCACCUUCAUCCAGCAAGCCAAGAAGUACUUAGCACUGCUUCAGCUGCUAUGUGUUGCCAACAUCCUUCACUGUAAAAAAAGCCUUUAAGUAAGAACUGCCUAAAAACAAACUUACCACUGCAAAACUCCCCUUGCUGGGUAAUAAACACUCACUGCCAAGUAACUCCAGCUAAGAGGCUGGCGGGAACACAGACCCUAUGACAAAGAUUGGGAAUUACUGUUUCCAAAGUGAAUCCUGGUAAUCUGGGCUACACAUGCCAGGAGCAGAAUGUACCUGUCCUCUGAUCUGGGGAGUGCUCGGAGACUUCAGGUGUCAGCUCGCAGUGGGUCACCAACUCCUGACAAGUGUCUGAUGUUUUUCAAAGGGGCAGCCAAAGGGAGAGGUAUCAGUGCAUUAAUGGUUUCAAAGAGUUUCCGACUGCUGUUCUCUCUCGGCCCCAAUGCUAGAGCUAGCUGAGCUCCAGCUUCUUGCUCUGAAGCAGCAGACAGACUGAGCUUGGAGAGUUGGCAGCAUCCGGAACAACGCCUUUCCCACCCCUACACUGCCCUCCUGCCAAUACAAUUACAGUCGGGAGAGUAUAUUGUGUAGUGCGUUCACUCUCUCCAAGAAAGUGUAUUUAAAAUGGAUUACUUCUGCUCCUUAGGCAGGCGAUCAAUAGAGAUGUGUAGUGCAAUAAGUACAGAGAUGUCUGUGGGCUGCAGCACUUAUCCUUUGUGUCUCUUCAGAAAUUAAUUAAAAAUCAAUGAAGUGUGCAGCCUAUUAAUAAGGAGCCUCCACAUUAACCAGUACAAGCCCAGCCUUCUCUCAGUUUCAGAAAGAACGCAGCCACCACGCAAACACAUCAGAAACUCGGCAGUGCUUCAGACAGCACGGCGAGGACUGUGACCUUGCACUGCUGCGCCCUGCGUCUGGCUGCACUGCGAUAUUCUCAGCUUUAUGCACCCCUAAUAAACUAUUGGUGAUGUGUUUCAAGCUGGUUAAACAGGCAGACUUGGGGCAAGCAUUUAGUCUUGAGAGAUACCGUGCUGGCUUUCUAGCUAAUGGUUGUCACAAAGCACAGUCAGCAGCACAGAGAUCCAGCAAGCACCUAACGGAGGGCUAACUGCACCUUGUAAUUCCUGGAGGUCACUCGUCGGAUCCGAGAGUACCUGACACAUUCAGCUCUCUGACUUCUUUUCCAGCAACCUGAGGACUACUCCUUGCCACCUGCUCAGUGCUUAAUUACAGCGAAGGAUGGAAUUUGCCUGGGCUUAAAAGCAUCUGGGCAGGGGCUGGAGAAAGGCGUUCUUGUCACUGGUUUCCAACGGUCAGGACCCUACCUCUGCUACUCCUUCACAGCCCAGUGUGUGCAGCGGUAGCACACAGGGCACAAAAUACAGAGCAACUUGUAAUGAAACCAGCAGUGCCAGCCCAGCCCAGGGGCCCUGUACAGCAAAGAGCAACACAUAAGCAGAGCACGAGCUUUUCCCUGCUUCCUUGAGAUGAGCUUCUAAUUAUAAACUGUGUUCAUAAACACAGUAGUAUAAUAAAUAAAAACAACCUUUAAUAAACAAGGUUUUAGAAGGUGAAAGACCGAACAGCUUAAUGAGACACAGCCUGGGACUGUUCCUAGGUCUUGGGAACCCCUAGUCCAACACCUACCUUCCCUUAUUUACGAGCCCACCUUUUGCAGACUUUUUGGGAAACAAGCACUAACCCAGUAUCAGGUAAUCAUUUCACACUCAAAGUGCACUGAUGGAAUGACAGUAUCAUUUGGAUGCAAGGUCUUCCAGCACUCACCUUAAGCUGCAUGUUAUGGUAAUAAAUAUGUGACAGAACAGGUCUUUCCUACACUCCAUGUACUCUGCCCAUUCAGAUGAGACAUUUUUGGACAGCUGAACUACUUAUUUUUCCCAUCUCUUGGGCAGUGCCCACUGAGCAUACAGGGAACGCUGCUACCUUGUGUGUUCAGACGAAAAUCCUGCAACAGGAGCACACAGCAGCUCCCAGCUUUGCACAAAGCAAAUAUGCACGUAAUUCCACCAAUGCCGCUGGAAUACCCGAGAGGGGAAUUUUUUAACCUUUUUUUCUUCUCAUUAAGCCCUACUGAUUUUUUUUUCCCCUUAGCAGACACAGCAUAGUUGGGGCUGAAUUUCUGAGGCUGGCUCCUUUACUUGAGAGAUGCCCCUGAAGCACAGCCUGCUGCAAGGGCUUUGUAGGACCACCUCUGAAGGCAUCAUUUUUGCAUAAGCAGGCACCCAAUAGAAGGGAAGGGCUGCUUCUAGAGGAAACCACCGUCUUCACAAGCUAUUCCCCUGCAAGGGCUGCCGGGCUCUUCAGGAAGAAAACUGGACCGGGGCAUGUUUACCCUCUGCUGAUACCAUUUUCUUCUCACGUGAGCACAGCCAACAGUCAGACUACUCUAUAUGAUGGCUUCUGCUUAGGAUCCAAAUAUUGUUUUACAAAAGAAAAUGGUCUGAAUUUAUUGCAGAUGCUUUUGAUACUCUGAUUCAAGUGAGUUCUUGAAUAAAUUAAAGCUUUGAACUUCCAAA